rnacentral:rRNA from 1 species
CCUACGGGCGGCAGCAGUGGGGAAUAUUGGACAAUGGGGGGAACCCUGAUCCAGCCAUGCCGCGUGUGUGAAGAAGGCCCUCGGGUUGUAAAGCACUUUCAGUGAGGAAGAACGCCUGGUGGUUAAUACCCAUCAGGAAAGACAUCACUUACAGAAGAAGCACCGGCUAACUCCGUGCCAGCAGCCGCGGUAAUACGGAGGGUGCGAGCGUUAAUCGGAAUUACUGGGCGUAAAGCGCGCGUAGGUGGCUUGAUAAGCCGGUUGUGAAAGCCCCGGGCUCAACCUGGGAACGGCAUCCGGACCUGCCAAGCUAGCGUGCAGGAGAGGAAGGUAGAAUGCCCGGGGGAGGGGGGCAAUGCGUAGAGAUCGGGAGGAAUACCAGUGGCGAAGGCGGCCUCCUGGAGUGACCCUGACACUGAGGUGCGAAAGCGUGGGUAGCAAACAGGAUUAGAUACCCCGGUAGUC